GAUGAAGAACGUAGCGAAAUGCGAUAAGUAAUGUGAAUUGCAGAAUUCAGUGAAUCAUCGAAUCUUUGAACGCACCUUGCGCCCUUUGGCCAUUCCGAAGGGCAUGCCUGUUUGAGUAUCAUGAACACCUCAACUCUCAUGUCUCGCCAUGAUGAGCUUGGAUUUGGGGGUCUUGCUGGCCUGUGGUCGGCUCCUCUCAAAUGGAUCAGCUUGCCAGUGUUUGGUGGCAUCACAGGUGUGAUAACUAUCUGCGCUUGUGGUUUUCCAUCAGAUAACCUUCAGUGAUGGAGGUUCGCUGGAGCUCAUAAACGUCUCCCCUAAGCGGGGACAGCCCUUUGAAUGUUUGAUCUCAAAUCAGGUAGGACUACCCGCUGAACUUAAGCAUAUCAAUAAGCGGAGGA
rnacentral:misc_RNA from 1 species